GUUUGAGUACAGCUCACCAGCAGUCUGAGGCCAUAUGAAGCAACAAUCUCUGAAGAGAUGAGAAAGAAGACCAAAGCCAAGGUCUGCUCUCCACAGCUAUCCUGAUGCAGCACCCCCUGCACUGGGAGACUGAAGUGGAAAGUGCCUUGCCAAAGGCCACAGAGG
rnacentral:lncRNA from 12 species